GUCGGCUCAUCACAUCCUGGGGCUGAAGCCGGUCCCAAGGGUAUGGCUGUUCGCCAUUUAAAGUGGUACGCGAGCUGGGUUUAGAACGUCGUGAGACAGUUCGGUCCCUAUCUGCCGUGGACGUUGGAAAAUUGAGAAGGGCUGCUCCUAGUACGAGAGGACCGGAGUGGACGAACCUCUGGUGUUCGGGUUGUGUCGCCAGACGCAUUGCCCGGUAGCUAUGUUCGGACAGGAUAACCGCUGAAAGCAUCUAAGCGGGAAGCCCCCUUCAAGAUAAGUUUUCCCUGAUUCCUUGAGAAUCCUAAAGGGCCCUUAAAGACUAUGAGGUUGAUAGGCAGGGUGUGUAAGCGUUGUGAGGCGUUGAGCUAACCUGUACUAAUUGCCCGUGAGGCUUGACUAUAUAACGCCAAAGCGU
rnacentral:rRNA from 1 species